rnacentral:rRNA from 1 species
GACAGAGGGUGCAAACGUUGUUCGGAAUCAUUGGGCGUAAAGCGCACGUAGGCGGUUUGUUAAGUCGGGUGUGAAAGCCCUGGGCUCAACCCAGGAAGUGCACUCGAAACUGGCGAACUUGAAUCUGGUAGAGGGUCGCGGAAUUCCCGGUGUAGAGGUGAAAUUCGUAGAUAUCGGGAGGAACACCAGUGGCGAAAGCGGCGACCUGGGCCAAGAUUGACGCUGAGGUGCGAAAGCACGGGGAGCAAACAGG